ACACAGGUGGUCAGGUAGAGAAUACCAAGGCGCUUGAGAGAACUCGGGUGAAGGAACUAGGCAAAAUGGUGCCGUAACUUCGGGAGAAGGCACGCUGACAUGUAGGUGAAGUGAUUUACUCAUGGAGCUGAAGUCAGUCGAAGAUACCAGCUGGCUGCAACUGUUUAUUAAAAACACAGCACUGUGCAAACACGAAAGUGGACGUAUACGGUGUGACGCCUGCCCGGUGCCGGAAGGUUAAUUGAUGGGGUCAGCGCAAGCGAAGCUCCUGAUCGAAGCCCCGGUAAACGGCGGCCGUAACUAUAACGGUCCUAAGGUAGCGAAAUUCCUUGUCGGGUAAGUUCCGACCUGCACGAAUGGCGUAAUGAUGGCCAGGCUGUCUCCACCCGAGACUCAGUGAAAUUGAACUCGCUGUGAAGAUGCAGUGUACCCGCGGCAAGACGGAAAGACCCCGUGAACCUUUACUAUAGCUUGACACUGAACAUUGAGCCUUGAUGUGUAGGAUAGGUGGGAGGCUUUGAAGUGUGGACGCCAGUCUGCAUGGAGCCGACCUUGAAAUACCACCCUUUAAUGUUUGAUGUUCUAACGUGGACCCGUGAUCCGGGUUGCGGACAGUGUCUGGUGGGUAGUUUGACUGGGGCGGUCUCCUCCUAAAGAGUAACGGAGGAGCACGAAGGUUGGCUAAUCCUGGUCGGACAUCAGGAGGUUAGUGCAAUGGCAUAAGCCAGCUUGACUGCGAGCGUGACGGCGCGAGCAGGUGCGAAAGCAGGUCAUAGUGAUCCGGUGGUUCUGAAUGGAAGGGCCAUCGCUCAACGGAUAAAAGGUACUCCGGGGAUAACAGGCUGAUACCGCCCAAGAGUUCAUAUCGACGGCGGUGUUUGGCACCUCGAUGUCGGCUCAUCACAUCCUGGGGCUGAAGUAGGUCCCAAGGGUAUGGCUGUUCGCCAUUUAAAGUGGUACGCGAGCUGGGUUUAGAACGUCGUGAGACAGUUCGGUCCCUAUCUGCCGUGGGCGCUGGAGAACUGAGGGGGGCUGCUCCUAGUACGAGAGGACCGGAGUGGACGCAUCACUGGUGUUCGGGUUGUCAUGCCAAUGGCACUGCCCGGUAGCUAAAUGCGGAAGAGAUAAGUGCUGAAAGCAUCUAAGCACGAAACUUGCCCCGAGAUGAGUUCUCCCUGAGACUUUAGGUCUCCUGAAGGAACGUUGAAGACGACGACGUUGAUAGGCCGGGUGUGUAAGCGCAGCGAUGCGUUGAGCUAACCGGUACUAAUGAACCGUGAGGCUUAACCUUACA
rnacentral:rRNA from 1 species